rnacentral:rRNA from 1 species
AGUGAACGCUGGCGGUAGGCCUAACACAUGCAAGUCGAACGGCAGCACAGUAAGAGCUUGCUCUUACGGGUGGCGAGUGGCGGACGGGUGAGGAAUACAUCGGAAUCUACUUUUUCGUGGGGGAUAACGUAGGGAAACUUACGCUAAUACCGCAUACGACCUACGGGUGAAAGCAGGGGAUCUUCGGACCUUGCGCGAUUGAAUGAGCCGAUGUCGGAUUAGCUAGUUGGCGGGGUAAAGGCCCACCAAGGCGACGAUCCGUAGCUGGUCUGAGAGGAUGAUCGGCCACACGGGAACUGAGACACGGUCCAGACUCCUACGGGAGGCAGCAGUGGGGAAUAUUGGACAAUGGGCGCAUGCCUGAUCCAGCCAUACCGCGUGUGUGAAGAAGGCCUUCGGGUUGUAAAGCCCUUUUGUUGGGAAAGAAAAGCAGCAGGUUAAUACCCCGCUGUUCUGACGGUACCCAAAGAAUAAGCACCGGCUAACUUCGUG